UACGGGGGGAGCAAGCGUUGUUCGGAUUUACUGGGCGUAAAGGGCGCGUAGGCGGCCACCGCAAGUCGACUGUGAAAUCUCUGGGCUUAACCCAGAACGGUCAGCCGAUACUGCGGGGCUAGAGUCCGGAAGAGGCGAGUGGAAUUCCUGGUGUAGCGGUGAAAUGCGCAGAUAUCAGGAGGAACACCAAUGGCGAAGGCAGCUCGCUGGGACGGUACUGACGCUGAGGCGCGAAAGCGUGGGGAGCAAACAGG
rnacentral:rRNA from 1 species